UCCUCCGCUUAUUGAUAUGCUUAAGUUCAGCGGGUAGUCCUACCUGAUUUGAGGUCAGAUCACAAAGUGGCAAAGCGCCUUUGACCGCCGCUCCAUAGGCAGGUCGAGGAGGGGCCUUCGAGUCGAGCGCCAUCCCAGGACGAGGGUGAUACAACGCCCGUGGACCGGCACACGAUAAGCCCGACCGAUUCAUUUAAGGGGAGCCGGCGCCGAAGCGUCAGCAAGACCCCCAAGUCCAAGCCCUCCGGCGACGAGCGCCGAGGGGCUUGAUGAUUUCAAGACACUCAAACAGGCAUGCCC
rnacentral:misc_RNA from 1 species